AUCAUAAUAGCUCAAUUGGUAGAGCAACUGACUCUUAAUCAGCGUGAGCGGUUCAAAUCCGCAAAUGACA
rnacentral:tRNA from 1 species